CAGUCAAGUUAUUUCCUUAUGGCAGUUGUUAGGACAGGCAGGGUAUAUAGAGAGGACUGAGACCUGAGCAAAAUAAACCACAAGAAGAGAAACACAGUCAAGACAAACAACCAAGACAACAAGAAUCCAGCAUUAUCAUCAAUUUUCUUCCAGUCUAAGAAUGAAGACAGCGGCGCUUCUGCCUUAGUCUUCUGUCACCUGUCAGUGGCUCAGCUUCAGGACUCUGACGAGAUCAGAGUGAAUGACAUCACUCAGCAGCUAGACUACCAGGGAAGAGAGAGCAGAGCCAAAGAGAUUCCUGCAGAGGAACAGGCAGUAGAGGCAGAAGCCAUGGUGGACAGCCAACAAACCUGCCAGUCCGGCAUCUCCUGUGUGCUGAGAGAGAUGCGAGCUGCAACGGCAGAGCAGAAAGCAGAGCAGAAAGCAGAGCUGACAGCAGUGGGAGCUAAACUGAGAGUCAGGUGGAGGAACUGAUCAGAGACCUUCAAGGUAGACAGGUGGCUUUUGCAGCUCCCAUCAGCAAUGUGGGCCACAUUGGCCCCUUCAACACUGAAAUCACUCUGAUCUACAAGAAUGUCUACACAAACAUUGGAAGUGGAACCCAUCAACAGGAAUCUUCACAGCACCGGUCAGGGGACUCUACUACUUCAGCUUCUCAGGUCACAACACUUCUUCCAGACCCAUGGGGCUUCGACUGAUGAACAACGGAGAACAGAUGAUUACUGUGUACAACCACGUCUCUGGAAACCGAUAUGAGACCGCAACCAAUGGCAUCUCGCUGCAGCGGAAUAUAGGAGAGCAUGUUUACAUGCAACUUGGGGCCAAUACAUGGAUCUUUGACAAUAGCAAUAACCACAGCACAUUCAUUGGUCAUUUGCUCUUCCGUCUGUGAGGAGAAGGUAGCUCAUUGGUUGAUUUUCAGUCAUGUAAUUGUUCUCAGUAAAGUAGUUCUAAAAACCAAUGUUUAGGGCAUAUUGGUUAAUCAAUGCGGUGAUCAUAUAUGAACACUAUUAAAGUUGUGAAUAUUUAGAGUGGUAAUACAGGUGUACUAUAUUUUAUAUGAAAUUUGCUGAUUUAAUCCUUUUGUCUCUUAAUAAAAACCUUAACUGUAUAUAUUUAUCCAGAGUGGUGCUGAAAUUAGUCAGCUACACUUUUUAUUACACAACGCUAACUGUAAAACACUUUGGGCUACAAUGUGUUGUACGAGAAAUGCUAUGCAAAUAAAGUGUAUUAUUGUUAUGA